rnacentral:rRNA from 1 species
UACGUAGGUGGCGAGCGUUGUCCGGAUUUACUGGGCGUAAAGAGCGCGCAGGCGGUCGUUCAAGUCGCGUGUGAAAGCCCCCGGCUCAACUGGGGAGGGUCACGCGAUACUGAUCGACUCGAAGGCAGGAGAGGGAAGUGGAAUUCCCGGUGUAGUGGUGAAAUGCGUAGAUAUCGGGAGGAACACCAGUGGCGAAGGCGACUACCUGGCCUGUUCUUGACGCUGAGGCGCGAAAGCUAGGG